rnacentral:rRNA from 1 species
CGCAAGGGGGAGCCAAUCUCAUCAAAGCCAGUCUUAGUUCGGAUUGGGGGCUGAAAUUCGACCCCAUGAAGCUGGAAUCGCUAGUAACCGCAAAUCAGCUAUGUUGCGGUGAAUAUGUUCCUGGGUCUUGUACUCACCGCCCGUCACAUCAUGAAAGGUGGGAGUGCCCGAAGUCGCAUUAGUCCUUCGGGACGGGUGCCUAAGGUAAAUCCACUGAUUGGGAUGAAGUCGUAACAAGGUAUCCGUAGGAGAACCUGCGGAUGGAUCACCUCCUUU